rnacentral:rRNA from 1 species
GACAGAGGCCCCGAGCGUUAGGCGGAAUCACUGGGCUUAAAGCGUGUGUAGGCGGAUCGUUAAGUGUCUUGUGAAAUCCCACGGCUCACCCGUGGAACCGCUGGGCAUACUGGCGAUCUCGGGCCAUUCAGGGGCGACUGGAACAAACGGUGGAGCGGUGAAAUGCGUAGAUAUCGUUUGGAACGCCGAUGAUGAAAACAGGUCGCUGGGGUUGUGCUGACGCUGAGACACGAAAGCCAGGGGAGCGAACGGG